GUGGGGAAUAUUGGACAAUGGGGGGAACCCUGAUCCAGCCAUGCCGCGUGUGUGAAGAAGGCCUUUUGGUUGUAAAGCACUUUAAGCGAGGAGGAGGCUACCGAGAUUAAUACUCUUGGAUAGUGGACGUUACUCGCAGAAUAAGCACAGGCUAACUCUGUGCCAGCAGCCGCGGUAAUACAGAGGGUGCAAGCGUUAAUCGGAUUUACUGGGCGUAAAGCGCGCGUAGGUGGCCAAUUAAGUCAAAUGUGAAAUCCCCGAGCUUAACUUGGGAAUUGCAUUCGAUACUGGUUGGCUAGAGUAUGGGAGAGGAUGGUAGAAUUCCAGGUGUAGCGGUGAAAUGCGUAGAGAUCUGGAGGAAUACCGAUGGCGAAGGCAGCCAUCUGGCCUAAUACUGACACUGAGGUGCGAAAGCAUGGGGAGCAAACAGGAUUAGAAACCCUAGUAGUCC
rnacentral:rRNA from 1 species